rnacentral:lncRNA from 1 species
UCACAGCCUAUGCCACAAUCACAGGCUUCAUCAUCAGAAGGCCGCGCAGCUCCAUAUAUGCCAGUUAGACCAUAUAGGACACCUUACCGUGGUAUUGCUCCACCUGUUACAAUAAGAACAGCAGUGCCAGUUUUCUCUGCUCCGCCUCGUCCACAACCUACUGGAUGUACGCCUCAAAUGAUGCAAGCCCGACCUGUUCGAGUUGCACCACCUGUCUGUGUUAGGCAGGCUAUCCCAGUAUUUUCUGCUCCACCAGCCAAAAAGGAAACCGUGGCACAUGCUACAACGCCAAGUAAGCCAUUAGCUCAGCCCGAGGAAACUGAGGCACGAGCUACUAUGCCAAGCAAGCCGUUAGCUCAGCCCGAGGAAACUGAGGACAAUUCUGGCACUGAGGUUGAUG